rnacentral:rRNA from 1 species
CCUACGGGAGGCAGCAGUGGGGAAUAUUGGACAAUGGGCGAAAGCCUGAUCCAGCCAUGCCGCGUGUGUGAAGAAGGCCUUCGGGUUGUAAAGCACUUUCAGUGGGGAAGAAAGCCUUGGGGCUAAUACCCUCGAGGAAGGACAUCACCCACAGAAGAAGCACCGGCUAACUCCGUGCCAGCAGCCGCGGUAAUACGGAGGGUGCGAGCGUUAAUCGGAAUUACUGGGCGUAAAGCGCGCGUAGGCGGUCUGAUAAGCCGGUUGUGAAAGCCCCGGGCUCAACCUGGGAACGGCAUCCGGAACUGGCAGGCUAGAGUGCAGGAGAGGAAGGUAGAAUUCCCGGUGUAGCAGUGAAAUGCGUAGAGAUCGGGAGGAAUACCAGUGGCGAAGGCGGCCUUCUGGACUGACACUGACGCUGAGGUGCGAAAGCGUGGGUAGCAAACAGGAUUAGAUACCCGUGUAGUC